UCAGAGGACAUUUACAUUUGCUGUACUUC
rnacentral:piRNA from 1 species